UACGGCCAUAUCACGUUGAAACUGUCGGUUCCCGUACGAUCACCGAAAUUAAGCAACGUUGAGCCUGAUCAGUAUCUAGAUGGGUGGAUACC